UACGGAGGGUGCAAGGCGUUGUCCGGAUUUAUUGGGUUUAAAGGGUGCGUAGGUGGUCUGAUAAGUCCGGGGUGAAAGCCCACAGCUCAACUGUGGAACUGCCCUGGAUACUGUCAGACUUGAGGGUAGACGAGGUUGGCGGAAUAGAAGGUGUAGCGGUGAAAUGCAUAGAUACCUUCUAGAACCCCGAUUGCGUAGGCAGCUGACUAGGCUACACCUGACACUGAGGCACGAAAGCGUGGGGAGCGAACAGG
rnacentral:rRNA from 1 species